rnacentral:tRNA from 1 species
GCCCUCGUAGCCCAACCGGGAGAGGCAGGCCCCUUAAAAGGGUCCCAGUGUGGGUUCGAACCCCACCGAGGGCA